rnacentral:rRNA from 1 species
UACGUAGGGUGCAAGCGUUAAUCGGAAUUACUGGGCGUAAAGGGCUCGUGGAGCGGCCAACUAAGUCAGACGUGAAAUCCCUCGGCUUAACCGGGGAACUGCGUCUGAUACUGGAUGGCUUGAGGUUGGGGAGAGGGAUGCGGAAUUCCAGGUGUAGGCGGUGAAAUGCGUAGAUAUCUGGAGGAACACCGGUGGCGAAGGCGGCAUCCUGGACCAAUUCUGACGCUGAGGAGCGAAAGCCAGGGGAGCAA